rnacentral:lncRNA from 1 species
GGAAAUUCUGUCAGUUUGCCACUGCCUGCUCUGCUCCAGCUGAAAAUACUUUAGCUCAGGUUCAGAAAUCUUCUCAGUGAGCUGCUAUUCAGACUCAGAAAGUAGCUUGGAGAAUACUCCAGACGUUAGGCUUUGCGAGUUUUUGUUUGUUUACAUAGAAAAGUCUCUUUUAAAUUUCCUUAUUCUUACACUGCAAAGAGACCUAACCUUGAUGGGUCCCAUCUGCAAUGCUCCUCCUGAAAAGAGACAGAGCUGUUUAACUGAACUGACCUAUUUGGAGGACGAAUAGACUGAUUGAAAAAGGUGCCCAGGAAGUCCUGGAACUGAGUCCUGGGGCAAGGUUCUGGAAGUUGGGACAAGAAGAUUCCUAGAAAAGAGGAAAACAAUCACUCUAGAACUGUUAUAAGCAUGCUAACCAGGACUUCAGAGAAAGGAAAAAAAAAGGCUGAACCUCGCUGGUGAUUCAGAUGGAUCAUGAGGAUCUUUCAACAAAGCUAAGUUCCCGUCUUUUAACGCAGUUAUUCUCAUACUUUUAUACUGAAAUAUCCAGAAUAGCAAAUGAGUUAAAUAUGUUUUCUGUGGGGUUCUGUACAAAGAAGAUUUAGAGCUUUAUGAACCUAAAAUAACAUAUCACAAGGAGAAAAUUUACUUGAAGUGGGAGACUUGGCUUAAAAGCAUCUAAUAUAAAUUGUAUAUUAUAUUCAAUAAUACAAAAGCAAUGCUUUAUUUAGAAUGAAUUAAAAUGCAUGCUUCAGACAAAAUGCAUGAUGUUUAGCUUUUGAUUUACUGAAUAUACUAUUCAACAGAUGUUUGAGUUACAUAGUUUGAGGAGCACAGGCCUUUGGUAUUGAUGGCUCCUGUUAAAAUAAAAACAUGUUUUCUGAGAGCAUAAUCAUAUGAAACCAGGAGCACAUAUUAACAUAAAACUCAAAUCACUUCCCCUGACUUUCUUCUUUCAAAUGUAAAGAAAGUGGGAAACAGGACAGAUGAAUUUGAAGAAACAGAAGAGCUCAGGAAAGUUCAAAGCAUGAAGCAAACUCAAAAGUAUAUCUAAAUACCUAGGGAGCACCUUCAAAGCACAAGGUACCUGAAGAUGAAACGGCAGAAGUGAAAAGAAUUGCUCGUGUAGUACAGGGCUAAAAUUGUACCUGAAGCAUCUCUGCUGCUAUCCCAGGAGAAGAAGAGUCGACAGUAGCUAUGGUAAACAUGCAUGGAAGCAUCAGGGAAAACAGAAAUUUAGAGAAGCAGAUAGAGUGAGCCCAAGGCAAGAUAAGGGUUUCUGGGUCUGAAUUUCAGAAAAGCCUGACUAUGGAGAGUGGGAGUUCCUGUUUUCUUUCAGUGACUUGCUAAUUUCAAUUUUGUGUGUGUGUGGCAUUAACAGAUUUUUGCCUAACUUGGGACAUUUUUAACAGUAGAGGAACUCUUCUGUCAGUUCUGAUAUGGUAAUUUUAAAACACAUAUUCUUUAACUGAACAUUCAUUAAAUCACUUGGCCAGGAAUCCAAAUAACAAAAUGUCUGUCAUGGAAUUCUGUGUGUAAUAGGAGUUAUGUAACUUGUUUCUUCUUAGUAGAGAGAAUAAAAAGUAAAGUCAAAACCACCCCCAGAUGACCAUUUUUAGCACUUUCAUUUUAUCGGGAGAGGUGAGCAACAUGCAGAAAAUAUAUAUUCUUGAAUUAAUCUCCUUUGGGUACAGAGAGAAAAGAGCUCAUUAUUCUUCUAACUGGCAACGUUUGAUUUUAUUGACACCCUAACAGUAUGUCAAUUGCUCAGUAUAUCUCCCUAGGCUGUAGUCUUGCAGACUUUCUUUUUUCUUUUUUUUUUUAACUUACCAAUUCUAUGAUGUAUUCCCAUGGAUGUCUCUUUUUAUGCUAUUUUACAAUCUAUUUCUAGAAUAAUCAUGGAAAUUUCAAUGGAAACAACAUAUCACAUUCUCUGUCUACUACAUAAGUAUGUCUUUUUUAUUUGUAAAUAGAUCAUAUUUUGCACAUAAUUAGGUAAUACCCACAUAUCUCAAUUUGGCUUAGGAAUUAUAUUGAAAGAUAGAAUUGCAUAAGGGUAGGGAUUUUACUUUUAAAUUAUUUUCAUGUCUCCAUGGAUUGGCUCUGUGCUUUACACCCAGUAGCUGUGAAACAAGUACUUAUUUAAUGAUGAAUGAAUAAAUAAAUAAAUAGUUAAAUGCAGCAACAAAAAUGUUGGUAGAUAUAUAGGAUUGUAGAAUCUAAUUGCUUAGUAGGAUCAUCAAGUUCUACCCAAAUUUGGUGUGGCAAACAGAACAAUGGUCCCUUAAGGAUGGCCUAGUCCUAACCUCCCAAACCUGGAAUAUGUUACCUUAUGUAACAAAGAGACUUUGCAGAUGUAAUUAAGUUAAUGAUCUUAAGACAGAAAUAUUAUUCUAAGUGAACUCAAUGAAAUUACAAUGAACAAUGUUCCUUAAAAGAGGAAGGCAAAAGUUCAGAAUGAAACACACAGACACACAUAAAGUGGCUACGAAAGCAGAAGUAGUGAGAGAUUUGAAGAUGCUACCUUACUAGAUUCAAAGACAGAGGAAGGGGUUAAAAUCUGAGGAAAUCAGGCAAGGCAGCCUUUCGAAGCUGCAGAAGAUGAGGAAAUGAAUUCUCCCUAGAACUUCCAGAUAGAAACAGCCCUACUGAUGCCUUGACAUUAGCUCAGUGAAACGUAUUUUCAGACUCUAACUUCCAGAUCUGUAGGAGAUAAAUUUGUGUUGUUUAAGCUACUACAUUUGUGGCAGUUUGUCAAAGUAGCAAAAGGAAACGUAUAUUUGGUAGGCAUCAGAAUUUCCUGAGCAAUAUAGUGUGAUUACCUUUGAAAAUUCUACUCAGCAGUCCUGGAAUUGCAGCCUGAAAUUUGAAAUUUACUAAGUGCUCCCACUAUAUCUGAGUCAGGAAUUACCUAGGAAACCAUGAUAUAUUGCAUUACACUAAUUUUGUACUUGAGAAAAAGCACAAUGUUAAAAUCUCAAGAACAUUAAUAUAGACUUAAGUACAAUUUAUCAUGUAAAAACAUAUUUGAAAAAGUAAGCCUGAAAAAAAGAAACAACUGAACUAUUAACACUAUAUUCUCUAACUAUAUAUUGAUUUUCUCCUUUUGCUUUUACACAGCGAACCACAUAUACUUUCACAGAGGGUGAUUUGGAUAAUAUGUUCCAUGCAUUGCUCCAAGCAGAAAUUCUCAAUCUAUCAUUUCUGCUUGUAUUAUUUUACACCUCUUAAAGACAUUCACAUUCCAUCACAGGGAGCCAAAAUCAGCCUGUUAUAUCUCUGUUUGCGAAUACCGCAAUACUUACUUUACUUUCUCCUGAAUAGAUUGUUAGUGGUUUUUAUUAUCUCCUGUAAAGAGUGUGAGAAAUGCAUGUUGCAAGGACACUUUUGUUUUAUUCACAUUAUUCUACUGAAUCAUGCUAACCAUAGCAUUACAUCUAUUUAUCUAUCUAGCUAUUAAACAUAUUCAGAAUACCUAACAACUUUAGGGGCAUUCAGUAUAUAGAAUAUGCUAGUAUUUGUUAUUUUCUAAAAAUUAAUAAUUAAGAAUGUCAUUCUAUUAUUGCAUUAGUGACUUAGUUAAAAUUUAGACCAUUAACAAAAAAGAGAUGAAAAAAAAAACAAAAAACAUUAGGCACUAAAGGAGUCCUCAGCAAUGGCUUUUUCAAAAUGAUAAUUUGGCAUCAUAAAGCGGGUAUUUGGUAACCAUACUCUAUUACAGAACAGCAAAUGGAAUUUAUGUUCUAUUUUCCCAUAUCCACUUCUUUACUAUAAUUUAGCAAUCAUUGUAAUUCUUACUAUAUAGUUAUUUCAAAUUUGAUAUGAUUCUUAAAGAUGCUCUGAUAGUAACAUUUUCUUUAGUGCCUCAUGUCACUCUCUCUCUCUUUCUUUAAAAAAUAAGUUGUCUUUACAGGAACAAAUUUCACUAUAGAUGCCUGACUUUCUCCUUUCAAAAUGAUUAUUGAAACUCAUUGAGAUCUGGCACUCUGUGUUUCUUAUUUUUAUUCCGUACGUAGGAAAAAAAGAACUCAGAGACACACAUGGUUUUAAGAGGCUGUGACUGUCAACUCUGCCCCUUCCUAUUGAAUAUUGAAGCCUUUAUGUUAUUGAAUACAUUGAAUAUAUUGCAAAUUGGAACCCCAUUAAUAGGAUUCUAAGAAGCCUUACUACUAGAUCUGGAUUCUAAGCCUCCUUGCUUGUAUGAUAGGUUAUUGUCUGAGACAUUAAGCAACUAGACCUAUGUUGGGACACUUGCUUCACAAGGUAAUGCGAUGUAUUAAUAAUGAGGAAAGAAAAAUUGCCCUGCUUGUGCUAGUGAGGAUCUUGAGCACUCUCUAUUUUCUCUUCACUCCUGCUUUAGUGGUUGCAGAAAAGAUUUUUUUUCUGUCAGAUGUACAUGCAGUAGCAAAAAAUUGAAGCAUCUUUCCUCACUAAUGAGCUGCAAAAUUUAACAGUUUGGGGGAGUCUCCAUGGAAACUUUUUAAUAUGGUGACCUAUGAGUGCUAAAUGUGUAUGAGGUGACAAUUCCUUCUACAUGGAAGACUGUCACAGAUAGCAUAUGGUAGGACUUUAUGAAAGCCACUAAAAUUAUUUCUGCCUCAGUUUCCAUCACUAUAAAGGCAUAAUCAUAUAAUCUCCAGUCAUAAGGAUUACUGAGAUAAUCUUUAAAUUUGCAUUAAAUUCCUUGGAGAUAGGCAUUAUAUAAAUAGGAAGCUCCAUAUUAAAUGAACAAAAUUUCAAUAAAGAGUGGCUACACUUAAUGGAUACAAUGUGGUCUGAAAUUUAAGUAAUUGACCAGAAAUCAGGACUUGGGACCAAUUACUGGACAUCCAAUUUGUGUCAUUUGAGAGAAAUUGCAUAGAACAUUCUUUCCUCAUUUUCAACAUUUACUUAUUACAUGAAGUAGAUAAUUUAACACUAAAUAAGGCUAUAGUUACAUUUUCUCCAUGUGUCACUGCAGGCUGCAAAAAAAAGUAUUAUAUUAAAUUAAUAGUCAGAAUCUUUCCCCAAAUGAUGAUAAUUGGAUCUCUGAUUGAAAGGACACCAAAGAAAUGGCUAGAGAAAAUAUAGCUCUGUCCUCAGUAUAUAGUAUUUUUAAUAAUAAUCUAUAUUUUUAAAGUAUUACAUCAUGUUCACUCCAAGAAGGGAGAAAAGAGCUCAAAACAUAUCUGGUGGCACAUCUGUAGUCCCAGCUACUUGGGAGAUUGAGGCAGGAGGAUCACUUUAGCCCAGGAAUUUAAGGCUGCUGUAAGCUAUGAUUGCACCUGUGAAUAGCUACUGUACUACAGCCUGGGCAAUAUAGGAGGAUACUGUCUCUUAAAAAAACAAAACAAAAUAUCUGACAUUUAGCUUAUAAAUCUCAUGUAUUAAUGGUUCAUAUUUCUGUUAUUCAUGCUGACAUAAUUAUUGUGAAGUCUUUUUGCAUGUGAUAAGAAUCUAUAUUCUUAUUCAAUAUCUAUUAAAUAUAUGGUACUCUGCUAGAGUAUUCUGAUGGACUCAGGGUAGAAAAAUGACUAAAACAACAGCUAUCUGAAUUUCUCUAUCUUAAUCAGUAUGCAUAGUGUUAACCUUAUAUAAGAAUGUCCCUAUAGUUAAUCAUUUGUGGUUUCAUUAAGCAGUAUUGAAGCUUUUAGAAGAAAUCACACAUACUGUGAUUUAAGGAAGCCUGGCAGUUACAACAGAAAAAAGAAGCUGAUUCAUGUAGAAUGUCUUGAAAUUUUGUCACUGGUAAUUUUGGCAAGAACAUUAUUAAUGUUAAGAUUUGUUUAUAACCAAUGAGAACACAUGGACACAGGGAGGGGAACAUCACACACCAGGGCCUGUCGGGGUUGGAGGACCAGGGGAGGGAUAGCAUUAGGAGAAAUACCUAAUGUAGAUGAUGAGUUGAUGGGUGCAGCAAACCACCAUGGCACGUGUAUAGGCAUACACUGUAACAAACCUGGAUGUUCUGCACAUGUAUCCCAAAACUUAAAGAAUAAUUUUAAAAAGUUUUUUUUAAAGAUUUGUUUAUAAAAUGGCAAAUUGCUUAAUCAGGGGAAUCCUCAUUGAGUUGAGAAGUAUGAGCUGUGAAGUAUGUUUUGCUGGAAAUAAACUUGUAAGCCGCUACAUAUAUAUUCUCCAAACAGAAAUAAACGCAAACAUCAUUUACCUGGAGGACAGGUUGAGAAUGAGUUAUAGCCUAACAUGACAUACAUAAGAAACUAAAAAAAAAAAAAAAAAAAAAAAAAAAAAAACAGAAUGAGGAUGAUACAUGAUCCCAAAAUAGAAGUAAGCAUUUUUUGGACAGAAAAGAUUCUGAAAAACUUGUGUCCCAAUGGUUCAUCCUUGAAUUGUAUCAUUGCAACUACCCCUCCCUCAUACAUAUACCAUGUCCUCUUCAUGAUUCUGAGAAAUUUUGAAGACCAGAUUCAAGGGGGUUCACAAAUGCCACUAAGACCUUCAUGUUACUAAGAAUGAUUAGUAUAUCAGCCUGGAGAAGCACUUGCUACAGGUUAGGCAAAUUAGGGUCCCCUUAUAGAAGAUGAUUAAAGUAGACAGAAGGAAUAAAAUUAACGUAUUAUUCAAUAAAUCUUCCUUAUGUCUCAUCUGGCUAAAUAAAAGUCCUGGGAAUAUAUUUAUAACUAACCAUUAUGCAAGUUCUUUCAACCCAAAAUAUUUUCUCCCUAUAUUAACUCUAUGUACUCCCCUACACACACACAUAUAUCUCCUAAACUUUUUAAACUAUUCUAAGUUAUGUGCUAGGAAUUGUACUAGGCAUUUUACAAAUAUAAAUUCACGCUAUUUGUACAUUUAGAAAAGUAAGAUACAAGAUUAUUUUUAAUCAAUAUUGACAAAAUUUAUCUUCUUUUUAAACAUAUUGACUAAAUAGUUCAGAGUUCAAAGAUGAAUUAUGAUAAAGAGUGUUUAGCAAAAUGUUUACACAUAAAAUACUUUGAACUCACUAGCAAUGAAGCAAAUAUUAUAGCCCGAAGACUCUCAGGAAAUUUAAUCCAGAAUGGAGGAUACUAAGUGAUGUAUGGAACUGCUUAUUCUACUUAAACAUCAAAACUCCACAUGAAUCUUCGAAGUGUAUCUCUGCGCCUUAAAUGAAAACACAGUUUUGACAUUGUUUAUUGCCUCUUGAGAGGAAACUCUGCUCAAUUCAUAAGUGAAUCAUGAAUUACCCAAUUUUUUCUUCCAUGGGCUUCUCUCAGGGUGCCCCUUGGUUUAACUUCAUUAUGUACAAACAUGGUAUUACCUUCCAUAACACAAUAUUUCAUAUACAGAGUGAUAUAUCAUUUAGAUGACUCUUUAGACCAUCGUUUUGAAAGCUACAGUUUUCUGAGCUAACAAUUAUAUUAUAGCUAUAUAGAAAUAAUAAAACCUUUUUUUUUUCUUUUUUUGAGAUGGAGUCUCACUAUGUCGCCCAGGCUGGAGGGCAGUGGCGCGAUCUCAGCUCACUGCAACCUCCGCCUCUCAGGUUCAAGCGAUUCUCCUGCCUCAGCCUCCCGAGUAGCUGGGUCUGCAGGUGCGUGCCACCAUGCCCAGCUAAUUUUUUGUAUUUUUAGUAGAGACGGGAUUUCACUCUGUUAGCCAGGCUGGUCUCCAUCUCCUGACCUCGUGAUCCGCCCACCUCGUCCUCCCAAAGUGCUAGUAUUACAGGUGUGAGCCACUGCGCCAGGCCAGUAAAAUCUUUCUUAAUUAAACAGCCCUAUAUUGUGCAACUAUAAUAGAAUAUGUGAUAACUAAAUUCAAAGGGUGAGAGAAUCAUAAAAGUUAUCGUACAUGCCUAAACUUAUGUACCAAAAUGUGCUAUGUACAUGCAUACAACUAAGUGUACUAGGCUUUCAUCAGAAGUCCCUUUUAGUUAUCUGCAGCUGCUUUAUUCCUUUUUGUAGAUCCCUUAUAAUUAUAAAAAUAUUUUUAUAUACAUUCGAAAUAUCUUAUGAUUAUAUAUAGUUACACAUAUUUGAUAUAUAUUUAUAUAUGUAUUACAGCGAUGUAUUUCUGAUCAGUGUUUUCUAACAACCACAAAUAUGUGGAAUAUAACUUAUACAAAAAACAUUUUGGAUGACAUAACAACUCAGAAGUAAUAAUUUUCCACACCAAUGACCUGUCUCUACUUCUAAUAUAAAGAAGGCAUCAAGAAGUAUGCUUUCUUAAAUAUGCUCCCCUUCAGCUGACAGUUUAUUGGCUACCAAGACCUAUAGUGAGGAGCAAAUAUACAUUUCUUUAUUUAGAAUAUUGACCCUUGGGAGAGGUGUAUUUCAAAUGCAUUUUUUUUUUUUUUGCAGGCUUGAGUGGUUAAGCUUUUUAACGAUAUAAUUCUACAGAGAUCAUUUCUUCCAAUUUUCUUUAAUUUUCAGUUAAGUAAUCUGUGACCUACUAUACCUAUUCAUUUGGGGAGAAUUACAAUGCAAUUUCAAUUUCAAUUGAAGUCUCUGACCCUUAUUUACUGAAUCAUAAGUAUUUCAUCCGAUUGUAUUUGUGAGCCAAGAACACUUUCUACUUAUUUGGGGAUGCUUCUUUUUAUUAUUUCCUCAGGAUAAGACAAACUUAGUGAGUGGAAGACUAGUUGUGUGGGAGAAUAAUAACUUAUAAGACAGGUUUUCACCCAAGUGCCAUAGAAAGACUGUCAUACAUUGAUGAUGAUGUGAAAUGUGAAUUUAAGGCCUAUUGUUUAAUCCAUUGCUCUUUUUAAUACAUUGACUUUUUAGUGUGGUAGGGCAGCCGAGAAGUUAGCAAUAUUUCAUUAUUUCUCAAGUAAAUCAACUCAAAAGAUCAUUACCAAAAUAGUAAAAUUCCACGUAUUUUCACUAUCUGCCAAGUACUAAAACCCAGCGUCAUCUUGUCAUAAAAAAAUAGCAAUAUAUUGGAAUCCUUUUUGAAGUCUUCAGUGCCCAAAGUAUGGAAGAGAUCAGUUAACAAAAAUGCAUUAAGAGGAAGAAUAAUAGGAUUUAUGGAUCUACUUUUAGUUUUGUUUUGUUUUUGCAUUUUCAUAAUGUUUAUUGAUAUGGAGAUAUUACUUUUAAACAUGCUAUAGUUUAGCUUACAUUUAGAAUACAUUUCCUGUAAAUGAAAAUGCACAAUAGUAAGCAAAGUUACUAGUACGGAUUGACCAUUGAAAUCCCAAUGAGGGUUCCAGGAGAGUAAGCCCUUGGAAAAGUCUCUUGUUAUGAUGGAACCAGGAAAGUCACAAGCAUGACAAGGAAUAUGUUCUGUGAAAAGAUGCCCCACGUGUCCAAAUGCCUGGAGACACUGGAUGAUCUUUUUUCCAGAAACAACAACAGCAGUUUUAAAUAUGAUUCAGCAAUCCCAGUGAACUUCGAUAUUCAAAGAAUUAGAAAUCAGUAUAUUGACAUGACAACUACACUUCCAUGUUUAUUGCAGCACUAUUCACAAUAGCCAAGAUAUGGAGUCAACCUAAGUUGAUUAUCAACAUAUCAACAGAUGACUGGAUAAUGCAAAUGUGGUUUAUAGCACAAAGAAAUGCUAUUUAGCCUUAACAAAGAAAUUAUUGUCAUUUGCAGCAUCAUAGAUAGAUCUAGAUAACAUUACACUAAAUGAAAUAAACCAGGAACAGAAAGACAAGUAUUGUAUGAGCUCACUUAUAAUGGGGAAUCUAAAAAAAGUAGAAAUCACAGAAGCAGAGAGCAGAAUGGUGGUUACUAGAGGCAGGGGGUGGGAGACAUGAGCAAGGAAAGGGGAGAUGUUAAUCAAAGGAUACAAGGUUUCCUUUAGACAGGAGAAAUGAGUUCUAGUGAUCUACCGCACAGCGUAGUGCCUAUAGUUAAUAAUAAUGUAUUGCAUAUUUGAAAAUUGUUAAUAGGUUUUAAAUGUUCUCACCAAAAAUGAAUGAUAAAUAUAUGAGGUGAUAAUAUGUUAAUUAGCUACAUUUCAUCAUUCCACAGUGUAUACAUAUAUCAAUACAUCACAUUUUGCCCCAUAAAUAUAUAGAAUUAUUAUUAGUCAAUUAAAAUCAAAUAAAAUUUUGAAGGGCAGUGCUUAAAUUUCAUUAUUAUGCAAUAUACUACCUAUUUGAUCUUUGUCCAGUCACCCAGCCUCACUGUAUCAUUGUUCUCCUCUCCAAAAAAUAAAAUGCUAACCAAUUAAAGAGAAGCCAGAGGAAAGCAAAUAGAAGCAAAUUAAAGUAUGUUGCAUAUACAUAGUUAAAUUAUGAAUUAUCUACUUGUAUGUGAAUAGGACCCUCCGACAUGCACUCGUAUUUUUAAAAUAAAACAUAGCCUAGUGUUCCCCUGUUGGAAUUAUAAGCAUGUGCCACUCAGAAAUCAUAUGUCAGGAAAUAACUUUGCUCUGAAAACGUUCCAUAUUUUUUUCUUUUUAUAGAGUUCUGGACUACUUGGUAAUUCCACUUAUCAUUUGACAGAUUACUUAUCUGUGACCUGUUGUACCUAUUCAUUUGGAGGACAAAAUCAGUAGCCUCUUUAAGUGCAGUAAGAUUAGUGAUGACUUUGUUUGUCAUCACAAACCAAGACUGUUUUCAGGACAGUAAGUCCCACACCUAGGUUUCAGUGGAAUUUGAUUUGUAAGAACAAAUCAGUGCUUUGGAAAUGUCGUUCUUAUUUUAAUGAGUUUAUAAUUAAGCAGAACACAGGUUGUUUUCUUUGCAGAAUCCCACCCACAAGGAUUCUAUUGAUUUACUGUUUAAUUAUAUGAAAUAGCAUGUCAGGGUGAAGGUAAAGCAGAAAACAAAUUAUGAUCUAAUCUAAAAUGUAGAUCUAUAUUAGAAUGAGACUGCUGACCUGUGAAAUACAUUCAAAUAGUAUUUACCAAAAUCAUUCCUAUUGUCAAAAUGAUGAAGAGACAUUUUCUCUGGGUGUUGCAGUGGGGACUGAGACAGCAGAAGUCUCCAAAGGUAAUUGUGAACUUAAAACUCUAAAAUAAUUUCCACAUAUUUGCAUCACAAAAUAUAUUUUUCAUUGUAGAAAGAAUAAUUUAAGUCCCUCAAAGUUUUUUAAAUUAUUACUUAUAGAGGAUAUAGGUUCGGAGACAACAGUGUUGAAUGUAGAAGAACUACUGAAAUUAAAUGCAAGAAUAUUGAAGAUUACGGCUGAGCCUGUUUGUAGUUGCAAAUGUUAUUGCUUUCACUAAAAUUACUUUGAGACUAUUAUGUUGCCAUGAACCUUAUUCAAGUGGCAAGUUUUCUCACCCAAAGUAUGUUCAUCUUUCUCAAAUGAAAAAUUAUCCACAUAUAGAACAGGUAUUUACAAUCAUAAAGCAAAAAAUUAGUUAUUAUAUUUUAAUUAUUAUACCAGGUCCUAUAGGUAGCAUCCACUGAUGUAGCAUCAUUGAAUACUACUUUAUAUAAGACCUGGCAAAAUUACACAUAGGAAUUAGAAUUUUAAAGUGAACAAAACAAUUCCUUUUCUAUAAAAGCUAAAAAUGGCAUUCAAAUGUCAUUAACAUAAAUUAACAUAUAUGCAGAAUAUUGUAAGACCACCAAGGAGGACUCUACAAAGAAGAGGUAAUUAUUUUUAUAUGAAUGGCAGCUUAUUUUCAUAAUAAUAAUUAAUCACAUAUAAUCAUUGGCUUCAUGUGAUGUCCAUUUGUGAAAUAACAUGAUAGAACAUAAAAUGUGUGCUAAGGGUAGAUAAUAUUGGAAAUCUAGAAUAGUACUCAGUUGAGGAGAACCUUGAAGGUCAAACUAAGCCACUAGAUUAUUUUUACUUCCUUGGGGAACACAAAAAGUUUUGUUUACUCUUUCCAACUCUCCGGGAAAUGGCCUGUGUAAAGAAUGCUUAAGAAGUUUGAUCUGAAAAUACAUCUAGAAUAGUCCUAACUGGGCUGUUCUCAGGUACCUUACUUGGAGAUUCCAUAUGAUUUCAAAAGCAUUUCAAUGAUGAAAAGUCUAAAAGAACACAUCCCAAAGAAUAGGCAUGUUAGGAAAUGACUCAGAAUAUCCUACAACUGAUACUGAGAAAGAUGUAGAUCACAGGCUAGGCAAAAUUUUCUGAGGGGUGUGUGGGCAACUAUUAUGUUUUGUUUUGUUUAUUGUAUGUGUGUGUGUGUAUGUGUGUGUCUAUAUAGUUAUUGGAGCACAAGCAAGGGCAUACAUACUCUGGGGGAAAAAAAUCUUCCAAACUCCUUUUACAAGGCCAGCAGUACCCUCUUGCCAUAACUAGGUAAGGAUACUACAAGAAAAUAAAAUUAUAGACCAAUAGGCCUGAUUAAUGUAAAUGCAAAAACUCAAAAAAAAAAUCAAAUUCGGCUUCACUUUAAAAGGAUUAUGCAUCAUGAACAAGUGAAAUUUAUCCCUUGGAUGCAAGGAUGUUCAACAUGUGCAAAUCAAAAAAUGUGAUACACCAUGUUAACAGAAUGAAAAAUAAAAAACAAAUGAUAAUCUUAACGCAGAAAAAGUAUUUGGUAACAUUUAAUGUCUUUUCAUAACAAAAAAUUUCAACAAAUUAUGUACAUAAACAAUGUACCUCAACAUAGUAAGUGCCAUAUACUACAUAUAAUAAGCCUGUAACCAAUGUCAUAUUCAAUGUUAGAAAUCUGAAAGCUUUUCGUCUAUGAUGAGAAACAAGAUUAAGAUGCUCACACUUUCUACUUCUGUUCAAUAGAGUACUGGAAGUCCUACCCAGUCUAACUAGGCAAGAAGAAGAAAUAAAAGUCUUCUGAAUCAGAUAAGAAGUAAAAUUGACUCUGUUUGCAGGUGACAUGAUCUUAUUUAUAGAGAACCAUAAAGACUAUUGGAAAAAACUCUCAAAGGUAAUAAAAAAAUUAAUUAAAAUUGCAUAAUACAAAGUCUACAUUAAAAAAAUUAGUUGCAUUUCCAUACUGUAACAAACUAUUCAAAAGAGAAAUUAAGAAAACAAUCUCUUACAAUAGCAUUAAAAAUAAUAAAAUGCUUAAGAAUAAAUGGAAGCAAAAAGAUCUGUACACUGAAAACAAGAAAUAUAUGGAAAAAAAUGAAAAAGACUGAAAUAAAUAAAAAAAUCAUAUGUUCAUGUACAGGAAUAAUUAAUACUGUUGAAAUGCUCAUAAUACCAAAGUGAUCACGUUGUCAAGAAAACUAUUCUACCAUUAGUAAUGUGUAUAAACAACUGUAAGAACAUAGAACAUUUUUAUUUUAUAAAAUUACUGAUUUAAAUGAACCAUUUAUAUAUCUUGUAACUUUGAAUUCUAAAAUUCUAGAGUAUUAUGCCUAAAUUAUAUCUUAAAAUUCAUUUUGGUGAAAUGGUGUUUGAAAAUAAAUGUAUAUCUAAGCUAG